ACACCGUCACAUUGCACAGGGAAACCUCGAUUCUGGGUGUCGUUAGGACACAACGAAGGCCUAAGCAUGCCCGAGCCCCUGGUGACUCCACUAGGCGGGCACAGGAGUGUCUCAGAGAUGUUUCCCUCCUGAGCACCGGCCCUCUUCCCGUUCCCUGCUAAUCUCUGUGUUCUCACUGGGCUGAGCACCUUUGUUCUUGGCAUGGGAAUUUCCAUGUGUUGAAUAUGCUUAAAACAUUUUUUGAGAGGUUGCCUUUCUAAAUAUUUUGGUUCUUAACUCGAGAGUUUUGCUGCUUUUCAGAGUUGGUUUCCUUUUUAUGUGCUAAACUCUUGCUGGGAGAGAUCAGAGUAACCACCUGUGCCGGUGGAAUUUCAAGUCUACCACAGAGGAUAAAAGCCACAAUAGUGGCUGGAAAGAAAUGAGAGUGAGAAGUCCUGUCUGCACCCCUUCCCUGCUCUGUUUUUCUGCACAGAGGGCAAAUGUGAAAGUGGAAACCAUAAUAUUGCCCCGCAGAAUGAAAACAUCUGGGGUUUGGCUCCUUUUUCCUGUCUUUGGACAACAUUUAUUAUCAUCUUGAGAUUUAACACACCUAUUUUUGCCAAGCAAAUGGUGUUAUGAUGGUGAGUGAGAUGACAAGUGCAGCCGCAGAACCCUCACCGGCUGUCUCCCUUCCUGAGCGUCUCUGAACUGACUGGCCCUUGGUGAAACUUCAGCCAACUAGGGCUUCAUUCCUUUCUCUGUCAGCCUUGCGAGUCUUGGACAUGCUUUUCUCACUGAGUUGUCAGCGUCUCUGGGUUUUCUCAUUGUGCACUGUGCACAGUGCCGGGCACAGAGUGUCUUCCUACCAUCCUUCUUGCUAGGGUCCUCUGCCAUUUGUGGAAGCC
rnacentral:lncRNA from 1 species